rnacentral:rRNA from 2 species
UGCUAAUACCGCAUAACCAUGAACACCGCAUGAUGUUCAUGUAAAAGACGGCUUUUGCUGUCACUUUUGGAUGGGCCUGCGGCGUAUUAACUUGUUGGUGGGGUAACGGCCUACCAAGGUGAUGAUACGUAGCCGAACUGAGAGGUUGAUCGGCCACAUUGGGACUGAGACACGGCCCAAACUCCUACGGGAGGCAGCAGUAGGGAAUCUUCCACAAUGGACGAAAGUCUGAUGGAGCAACGCCGCGUGAAUGAAGAAGGCCUUCGGGUCGUAAAAUUCUGUUGUCAGAGAAGAACGUGCGUGAGAGUAACUGUUCACGUAUUGACGGUAUCUGACCAGAAAGCCACGGCUAACUACGUGCCAGCAGCCGCGGUAAUACGUAGGUGGCAAGCGUUGUCCGGAUUUAUUGGGCGUAAAGGGAACGCAGGCGGUCUUUUAAGUCUGAUGUGAAAGCCUUCGGCUUAACCGAAGUAGUGCAUUGGAAACUGGAAGACUUGAGUGCAGAAGAGGAGAGUG